GCAGGUGAUGUGAUUAGCGCGCAGGUGGGUGUGAGUAGCGCGCGGUUGAUAUUAUGAGGGUGUCCUGUGGAUGCCAUCGGAGAGGGCGGCCACCCCCCUUUGGCCGGGACACCAGGUUAGCAGCGGCGCUGUGGGACGCCACGCGACCGUAUGUCGGUUUCUUUCUAUAACCUCCUAUCUGGCGGUACCUUGGGACGCUGGGUACUGUUGGCGCCACUGGUAUAUAGUGGGUGCAUCAAAUGAUUUUCAGAACUGUGUUUUAAAAAUAAAAUGUUUGGAAACUGAAUUGGAAUUAAAGAUAUAAUUGUUACCGCUUCUGGUAUUUAAUUGAUGUCUUGGUUUCGGGGAAUAUGGAUAAAGGGUUUUGUGAAAUUGUUUUAAAAGGGGAACCUUUCCAACUGAGAGAAUUGUAAGGGUUUUGAGAGAAAAUAUUAUUUCCAAAUAAUUAUUAUUUAUACUUAUUACUGUGAUAAUAUAUGGUAUAGUAGUAGGGUCGCUCACUGAGAUGAUUAGCAUCUCACACUCUUAAAUUCCGUUCCUCUAGGUACCAGGUUGUCGGUGUUCACUCGGAGCGGACUUGAUCUUCCUCGCUGUUUUAGUUCGGCAGUACCCUGUUAUUCUUUUAUUGCAGUUGUAAUAUUUCUUUCACUCUUGUUGUAUUUAUUUUGCACUGGAUUACUGUAUUUAUUUUUUUAAGUACUGCAAUUUGUGGAACCAAUUUGUAGUUUGUGGGAGGAAUAAGGGGAUAUUUUUGAAGUGUGUUUUCAGGGCAGGUAAAUUUGUGGUAAGUAAAUCCCUUAGGGGAGGUGCUGCCGGAUUUUCCGUUGGAAGGUUCGGUGGUAUUUCCCUGGGAUCAGGGCUGUCUAGGGUUCCGGAGGAGGAAUUCUGGACGGGUCCUGACAUAGGGUCUAGCGGCUGGAAGAGCACCGCACGUCGAGUGGUGUCCAGUGGGCCCCCGGAGGCCCUUGAAACUCCAGAGGACCGAGCGCCUACCAUGCCCGAUCAUAUUCAUAACCGCAUUAGGUCUCCAAAGUGAACAGCCUCUGGCCAAUGGAAUAAUGAAGGCAAGGGAAGUUGGCAAAAUGGAUCCGUAAAAGGAUUGGCUCUGAGGGCUGGGCAUAGGGGUCCUAGUCCCGAACCCAUCGACUGUCGGUGGACUACUCAAGUUGCUCCAACGGCGGGAGUGGUUUACCGCAUGCCGAUCGGGGGACAGAAUGGGAUAAGGUCCCUUUGGGGGCCCUUCCCCAGGCAUCGAACAGUCGACUCAGAACUGGUACAGACAAGGGCAAUCCGACUGUUUAAUUAAAACAAAGCAUUGCAAUGGUCCAUGCGGAUGCUCACACAAUGUGAUUUCCGCCUAGUGCUCUGAAUGUCAAAGCAAAGAAAUUCAACCAAGCACGGGUAAAUGGUGGGUGUAACUAUGACUCUCUUAAGGUAGCUAAAUGCCUCUUCAUCGAAUUAGUGAUGCGCAUGAAUGGAUUAACAAGAUUCCCACUGUCCCUGUAUACUAUCUAAGGAGACCACAGCCAAGGGAACUAGCUUGGCAGAAUUAGCAGGGAAAGAAGACCCUGUUGAGCUUGACUCUAGUCUAACUUUGUGAAAUGACCUGAGAGGUAUAGUAUAAGUGGGAGCUGGAAACAGCGAAAGUGAAAUACCACUACUUUUAACGUUAUUUUACUUAUUCCAUGAAUCAGAAGCGGGGCACUGCCCCUCUUUUUGGACCCAAGGCCUAUCUUGGCUGGCCGAUCCGGGCGAAAAACAUUGUCAAGUGGGGAGUUUGGCUAGGAUGACACAUAUGUUAAAAGAUAAUGCAGGAGUCCUAAGAUAAGCUCAAAGAGAAUAGAAAUCUCAUGUGGAACAAAAAGGUAAAAGCUAGUUUGAUUAUGAUUUCUAGUACGAAUACGAAGCAUGAAAGCGUGGCCUAUCGAUCCUUUAGACUUUGGAAUUUGAAACUAGGGGUGUCAGAAAAGUUACCACAGGAAUAACUGGCUUAUGGCAGCCAAGCGUUCAUAGCGACGUUGCUUUUUGAUCUUUCGAUGUUGGCUCUUCCUAUCAUUAUGAAGCAAAAUUCACUAAGUGUUGGAUUGUUCGCCCACCAAUAGGGAACAUGGGCUGGGCUUAGACCGUCGUGAGAUAGGUUAGUUUUACCUUACUGAUGAUAAUAAAA
rnacentral:rRNA from 1 species